UUAGUCCUAGUUAUUUUUUUGAAUAUUAAUUUUGUAAUUUAAAGGUUUAUAGGAUUAAA
rnacentral:tRNA from 1 species